rnacentral:rRNA from 1 species
AUACGGAGGGUGCAAGCGUUAUCCGGAAUCAUUGGGUUUAAAGGGUCCGUAGGCGGGAAUCUAAGUCAGUGGUGAAAUCUUGCAGCUCAACUGUAAAAUUGCCAUUGAUACUGGAUUUCUUGAAUUAGUGUGAAGUGGUUAGAGUGUGUAGUGUAGCGGUGAAAUGCAUAGAUAUUACACAGAAUACCAAUUGCGAAGGCAGAUCACUAACACUAUAUUGACGCUGAGGGACGAAAGCGUGGGGAGCGAACAGGAUUAGAAACCCCAGUAGUCC